CCGAUCGACAAUGACAAGCUGGUCUCCUACAUCCUCACCGGCCUUGAAGAUGAGUACAACCCCACCGUGACGGCUCUUGUGGCAAGAGCAGACUCGGUGUCCGUCGGCAAGGUGUUUGCGCAACUGCUCAGUUUUGAGC